rnacentral:rRNA from 1 species
ACGGGAGGCAGCAGUAGGGAAUAUUGCACAAUGGGGGGAACCCUGAUGCAGCAACGCCACGUGUGGGAAGAAGCAUUUCGGUGUGUGAACCACUGUCGUGAGGGAAUAAUGCUUGGCUCCGGCCAAGUUGAAUGUACCUCGAAAUGAAGCACCGGCAAACUUCGUGCCAGCAGCCGCGGUAAUACGAGGGGUGCAAGCGUUGUUCGGAAUCACUGGGCGUAGAGGGAGCGUAGGCGGAGACGCAAGCAGUCUGUACAAUACCGGGGCCCAACCCCGGACCUGCAGACUGGACUGUGUCUCUUGGAUAGUUCAGGGGCAGGCGGAAUUCCUGGUGUAGCGGUGGAAUGCGUAGAGAUCAGGAAGAACACCGAUGGCGAAGGCAGCCUGCUGGGGACUCAUCGACGCUGAGGCUCGAAAGUGCGGGUAGCAAACAGGAUUAGAUACCCUGGUA